UACGAAGGACCCGAGCGUUAUCCGGAUUUAUUGGGUUUAAAGGGUGCGUAGGCGGAUUAUUAAGUCAGUGGUGAAAGCCUUCAGCUUAACUGAAGAACUGCCAUUGAUACUGAUGAUCUUGAGUAUGAUUGAGGUGGGCGGAAUGUGUCAUGUAGCGGUGAAAUGCUUAGAUAUGACACAGAACACCGAUUGCGAAGGCAGCUCACUAAGCCAUAACUGACGCUGAUGCACGAAAGCGUGGGGAGCAAACAGG
rnacentral:rRNA from 1 species